CUCUACGCUCUCUCUCCUUUGGAGAGGGCUACCUCUCUACAAACACUUGCAAAGACAUAGCAAUUAAAGUUGAAAAAACAGGAGGAAAAAUAAAGAAAAGAAAAGAAAAAAAGGAAAAGCAUUGGAUGCCGAACAUUAUGCAAUCCAAUGGCUACCUUUCUUCUAAAAAAAGGAUGGAAAAAUAAGAGAAGAAAAAGAAAAGAAAAGAAAAGUUAAUAAAUAUGCCGUCUACUGCAAAAACAAAAGACCCACGAGAAACAAGCUAGCUGACUUCCUGAUCAUGUAACUAAUAAACAGUAAACACGGUAGAACUCAAUUGAGAUAAUAUUUCUUGAACUCAGCUUUACAGCCCAGACUCAGCAAGAGGUUUUCAAAACAAAAAUAACAGUAAAAAUAAACUAAACCAGAAUAGAAGAAUGAAAAGCAACAAUUAAGGGGGAAAAAAAAGAGUAAAACCCAACAAGAAUUCGAGUCUUCAUAAUGCAUAUCCACUAAAACUUAGCUUAUUGGCAAAUUACACAUGCCAAACAAGAAGUGAAGAAAAAGUUGAAGUAAAAUUGAGAAAGAAACCAAAAUUGAACCAUUGCAUGCAACAA
rnacentral:misc_RNA from 1 species